GAUGAACGCUGGCGGCGUGCUUAACACAUGCAAGUCGAACGGAAAGGCUCCUGCUUGCAGGGGUACUCGAGUGGCGAACGGGUGAGUAACACGUGGGUGAUCUGCCCUGCACUUCGGGAUAAGCCUGGGAAACUGGGUCUAAUACCGGAUAGGACGAUGGUUUGGAUGCCAUUGUGGAAAGUUUUUCGGUGUGGGAUGAGCUCGCGGCCGAUCAGCUUGUUGGUGGGGUAAUGGCCUACCAAGGGGUCGACGGGUAGCCGGCCUGAGAGGGUGUACGGCCACAUUGGGACUGAGAUACGGCCCAGACUCCUACGGGAGGCAGCAGUGGGGAAUAUUGCACAAUGGGCGCAAGCCUGAUGCAGCGACGCCGCGUGGGGGAUGACGGCCUUCGGGUUGUAAACUCCUUUCGCUAGGGACGAAGCGCAAGUGACGGUACCUGGAGAAGAAGCACCGGCUAACUACGUG
rnacentral:rRNA from 1 species